rnacentral:rRNA from 1 species
CCUACGGGAGGCAGCAGUGGGGAAUUUUGCGCAAUGGGGGCAACCCUGACGCAGCAACGCCGCGUGAGUGAUGAAGGCCUUCGGGUCGUAAAGCUCUGUCAGAGGGGAAGAAAUGCAGGUGGUGAACAACCAUUCUGUUUGACGGUACCCUCAAAGGAAGCACCGGCUAACUCCGUGCCAGCAGCCGCGGUAAUACGGAGGGUGCGAGCGUUGUUCGGAAUUAUUGGGCGUAAAGCGCGUGUAGGCGGUUUUUUAAGUCUGAUGUAAAAGCCCCGGGCUCAACCUGGGAAGUGCAUUGGAUACUGGCAGACUUGAGUACGGGAGAGGAGAGUGGAAUUCCCAGUGUAGGAGUAAAAUCCGUAGAUAUUGGGAGGAACACCGGUGGCGAAGGCAGCCCCCGGGGUUGACACUGACGCUCAUGCACGAAAGCGUGGGGAGCAAACAGGAUUAGAUCCCCCGGUAGU